AUUUUAUUCAAGGCUGAAACAAAAGCUUUCGUCUGUUUCUGGAAUCACGACUGCAGCCUCGUGCAAUCUUCUGAAAGGAUUUUAAUGUCAUUUUAAACUAUGGAUCUUUUAUUAACUAUGCUGGCCAUCUGGUGUGUGAAUAGUGUGUGUGUGUGUGUGUGUGUGUGUGUAAGUAGGUGGUUGGUUACUAAGAGAUUUGCAUUAAGUUUUGGAAGUGUACUUUACGUAGUGGCUUUCAUGGAGAACUACGAAAGAGUUCUGCAUUAACUUGUAUUUGAGUUUCCUGUGAAAAUUAUUCUGCUUGAUUUUUGUUACAAAUCUUUUGUUGAAUUCAAGAUAAUUCUCUUUUUAAUUGCAGUGCCACAUUUUGCUUCUUAAGUGAAUGCAUUUCUCUUUUGUAGAAAAUAUCCUGAUUCCUGGUUUUGUUCUGGUUCUGUGCAUAGAUUGUUCAAAAUAAUAUUAUAAAGUUUUUUCAAUUAUGUACUUUUAAACAAAUGUAUUUUGUCCUCCUUAGUUUAGUUGUUUUGCGUUCCCUGAACACACUUACCACCAGAAUGUGUACCGCUGUGGAACGGGAAAUACAAAGAGUUCUGAGAUGUGGGCUUGUUAGUCGGGACGGCAGCAGGUCUCAGACCUGCUAAGAUAGGGUUGGAUAUCUCACCACGGUGGUUCUGUCAGGUCUUAACCAGGCUAUUUCUAAACCUCACUUCCCACCUCCGUUCCCCUGAAUAAUAAUUCUCACGCUUUCGUUUUCUUUCUGUCACCAUCCUAAGGGAUUUGAUCAAGGAAUGAGGUGAAAGUAGGAUGUUCUCCUGUCUGAUGCAGUCCAGAGACAGCACCCCCGUUCACUCACCUCAUCCUAAACAACCACUGGGGUCAGUGGAGAAGGACGUUCAUGUCUUUAGUUAUUUUACUUCGGUACGAAUCUGACUGUGUGUUCAGAAGUCCCCACUACUCUGCUCUAUCCAAAAUGCGACAGCACACGACACUUGUCAAGGCCAUGUGACAAAAAUAACAUUUCACAGCUUAACAUGAAGAUGACAUCAUUAUAUAUAUUUAUAUAUAUAUAAUGAUUUCCUCUUCAUGUUAAGCUGUGAAAUCUAUUUUUGACACGUGUGUGUGUAUUUGUGUGUUUUAUUUGAAGUGUGCGCCUCAUGUUUCUGGGCCAGUGUAGUUUAUACACUGGCCUAGUUUUAUCCAUAAAUAUAAAACAAAAUAACUGUUUGAGGCUGUAACCUGGGUGAAUAGAUGUUUUUGCCGCAAUGCAUCCAUUCAGUGCAUAUAUUAUGGCCGCCUCUGUACUUUUUAAACUCACAGUGAGGGGCAAUGAACACAGUUUUAGAUUGUUAAAUUCUGUUGCUCAAGGUUCACACAAUUCAGCUGCAGAGUCGACGGUUACACCUACUAGACCACCCAGCCUCCAUGUUGGCUCACUAAACUACUUUAUACAAACCUACGACGAGACUACAGUUAAAGGAUAUGCACCACAUAAUAACUUAAACAAACCCAUCAGAGGUUAUCUGUAAAAACACAUACACAGUUUGAAUACCCCAACCUGUUCAUGAUGGGCCACUGUUGCAUUGGGGUGAAUCGGACGUUGUCCUUUGAAACGAUGUUGGUCCAACGGCCACUGAAUUAAAUUAAAUAAUCAGACCCUCCAAUCACACACCCAUCCAGUCGUCAUUCCAUCUUCAAACACUUUGGCUCAACACAUGCUAGCUGAAUUUACCCAACAGUAAUAUCUCACAGGAGUCCAUCGCUCACCUUAAACGUAAAUAUACACGUUCCCAACACGACUACCCCUCUGAUGUCUGCUCCUACAGCCCAUCGACGCCACCGUAUAUAGAACCACAGCCUGGUUAAAUAAGCCUGACUGCCUUUGUCCGCCAAUAGGACAUAAGGGCACCAAUCAAACACCCCACCUCUGUAGACUCAUUAACCCCUGCAGACGUCACCGCCCGUACCCCGACACACACGCUGCAUGGGGAACGCGCCCCGUGCAGCGGCCUGCGGGUGGACUCAUGCUGAUGCCUUGCCCAAAGACCCCAGGUUAGAAAGCAAAGACACAGUUUUGCAUUUGACCAACCCCAUGUGUGCGUGUGCGUGCGUGCGUGUGUGUGUGUGUGUGUGUGUGUGCGUGUGCGUGUGUGUGUGUGUGAACAUGGCAGGUCAAUUGAAAGCUG
ensembl:lncRNA